CGGCGGACGGGUGAGUAACGCGUGGGUAACCUACCUCAUACAGGGGGAUAACAGUUGGAAACGGCUGCUAAUACCGCAUAAGCGCACAGUACCGCAUGGUACCGUGUGAAAAACUCCGGUGGUAUGAGAUGGACCCGCGUCUGAUUAGGUAGUUGGUGGGGUAACGGCCUACCAAGGCGACGAUCAGUAGCCGACCUGAGAGGGUGACCGGCCACAUUGGGACUGAGACACGGCCCAA
rnacentral:rRNA from 1 species